UGGGGAAACAAAGGCCUAGAGGGCUAGGGAG
rnacentral:piRNA from 1 species